rnacentral:miRNA from 14 species
UUCUCCUUCUCCUUCCUCUUCCUCUUCCUCUUCCUCUUCUGUACUGAAUGAUGUCUUUACUUUGUUAUUUUCCAGAGUUACUUUAGAUUUGGAGAAUAUGUUUAGAUCUCCAUUUUUCUUAGGGAGCUACUCUUUACCUCCUACCUCCA